GAAAAUUUAGUUAAACUAAUAACGUUAGCUUGUCAAACUAAAAUCAUUAAAUUUAUUUGAUAAUUUUCA
rnacentral:tRNA from 1 species